CGGAGGAUCCAAGCGUUAUCCGGAAUCAUUGGGUUUAAAGGGUCCGUAGGCGGUUUUGUAAGUCAGUGGUGAAAGCCCAUCGCUCAACGGUGGAACGGCCAUUGAUACUGCAAGACUUGAAUUAUUAGGAAGUAACUAGAAUAUGUAGUGUAGCGGUGAAAUGCUUAGAUAUUACAUGGAAUACCAAUUGCGAAGGCAGGUUACUACUAAUGGAUUGACGCUGAUGGACGAAAGCGUGGGGAGCGAACAGGAUUAGAUACCCUGGUAGUCCACGCCGUAAACGAUGGAUACUAGCUGUUCGGAGCAAUCUGAGUGGCUAAGCGAAAGUGAUAAGUAUCCCACCUGGGGAGUACGUUCGCAAGAAUG
rnacentral:rRNA from 1 species